rnacentral:rRNA from 1 species
AUUGAACGCUGGCGGCAGGCCUAACACAUGCAAGUCGAACGAGUGGCGGACGGGUGAGUAAUGUCUGGGAAACUGCCCGAUGGAGGGGGAUAACUACUGGAAACGGUAGCUAAUACCGCAUACCAUCGGAUGUGCCCAGAUGGGAUUAGCUAUUAGGUGGGGUAACGGCUCACCUAGGCGACGAUCCCUAGCUGGUCUGAGAGGAUGACCAGCCACACUGGGACUGAGACACGGUACAGACUCCUAGGGGAGGCAGCAGUGGGGAAUAUUGCACGAUGGGCGCAAGCCUGAUGCAGCCAUGCCGCGUGUAUGAAGAAGGCCUUCGGGUUGUAAAGUACUUUCAGCGGGGAGGCGUUACUCACAGAAGAAGCACCGGCUAACGCCGUGCCAGCAGCCGCGGUAAUUC